rnacentral:rRNA from 1 species
AACGAACGCUGGCGGCAUGCCUAACACACGCAAGUCGAACGAGACCUUCGGGUCUAGUGGCGCACGGGUGCGUAACGCGUGGGAAUCAACCCUUGGGUUCGGAAUAACAGUGAGAAAUUACCGCUAAUACCGGAUGAUGUCGAAAGACCAAAGAUUUAUCGCCCGAGGAUGAGCCCGCGUUGGAUUAGCUAGUUGGUGAG